UACGGAGGGGGCUAGCGUUGUUCGGAAUUACUGGGCGUAAAGCGCGCGUAGGCGGCUCUGCAAGUUAGAGGUGAAAGCCCGAAGCUCAACUUCGGAAUUGCCUUUAAAACUGCGAGGCUAGAAUUGUGGAGAGGUAAGUGGAAUUCCGAGUGUAGAGGUGAAAUUCGUAGAUAUUCGGAAGAACACCAGUGGCGAAGGCGACUUACUGGACACAUAUUGACGCUGAGGUGCGAAAGCGUGGGGAGCAAACAGG
rnacentral:rRNA from 1 species